rfam:Manacus vitellinus contig9015, whole genome shotgun sequence.
CCCCUGGUGGUCUAGUGGUUAGGAUGCAGCACUCUCACCGCUGUGGCCCAGGUUCACAUUCCCGGUCAGGGAA